rnacentral:rRNA from 1 species
UACGAGAGGCCCAAACGUUAUUCGGAAUUACUGGGCUUAAAGAGUUCGUAGGCGGCGCAGAAAGUAGGGUGUGAAAGCCCUCGGCUUAACCGAGGAAUUGCGCCCUAAACUACUGUGCUUGAGGAACCUAGAGGUGAGCAGAACAGAUGGUGGAGCGGUGAAAUGCGUUGAUAUCAUCUGGAAUACCGGAGGCGAAGGCGGCUCACUGGGGGUUUUCUGACGCUGAGGCGCGAAAGCCAGGGGAGCAAACGGG